UGGCUCAGUUGGUAGAGCAUGGUGUUUGCAAUGCCAGGGUUGUGGGUUGGAUUCCCAC
rnacentral:tRNA from 1 species